ACGCACCUUAGGAGUAAUGUCUGAAAAAUUGCUAGUGAGAUCUGAGGCGAUAUCCUAAUGGAUCAUCAGCCACAGCUACGUAGUGGGACUUACCCAGUAGCGAGAAGAGGGUUUUGUUUCCCAUUUCACUGAGGCAUGCGUAGUGCUGCUCUGCACCAUGGAAACGCUCGUCUCAGUCCCUGCAGUGGGAGCGGUGAAGGAUGAGGCUGUUGAAGUGACACAAAUUAUCUCUCCAUCAGGGUGUGAGGUUGAGUUUUUCAUGCCCAGUGCUCAGAGGUUGCAGUAGCUCGGUGUCAGCACUGGCUCCUGCAGCAGUGCUUGGCAUUGCUAAGGGGACAAAGCCUCCCCCACCUACACACUUCCCAAGGUAACCACUUGUCUUUCUGCAGCUAAAUCAAAGCUCCUCACAGGGCAAACUGAGAGAAACAACGAAGUAAAGAGAGGGAAAGCAAUCGGCAGUCCCAUAAUCCAUUCUUGGACUUUGUGGUAAAUUGCAUUCUGAGUUUCUUGGGGCCAAGCCUAGGUUCUGGGAAGCAAGGGAACUGUGUCUGGGUAUCUGGAUGUAAAACUCAUGGUACAUGUGACAUUAAUUUUACUCAUGGUACAUGUUUCUCAGCAGGCUGCAGCCCCUUUUCUGAAGCCUGCCGGUAACCUGGACCAUCACACUGCUAUUUAAAAAGAAUAGUGUAUCAGGAGCAAUCAUUGAUAUAGCACCCUACUUGGUUCAAGCUAUUGUUUUAUUAAUUCACUGUAAGGAGAUAAUGGGAGCUCAUACAAAACCUAGCCACUUUUAGCACCUCAAGCACUUUUGCCAGUCCUGGCAGCGCUUCGCAGGUAAUCAAUAGUGACAGGGCAGUGCCUUUGAACAGGGAGCUGCUCGUUCGGGUUACAAACACCUUGUGGAGAAGAUGUCCUUUGAUAAAACCCACCAGCCACGCAAUUAGUAGUUUUUGGCUUAAGAAUGCAUUAUUUUCCCGUCAGGGAGAACAGAGGAGCUGCCCUGCUACACCCACCUCGCGUAAGGCCCAGUGCCAUGCUGCCUGCACUGGGGUGCCGGGGAACUCGGUCAAGGCAUCGAGCCUGUAGGACUGGAGCCGGAGCCACCGUCUGCCUAACUCAGGAAGAAACUGGUCUAAGACAGAAUAAAAGGAAUAACAAGCCAUUUUUUAUCUCUUCUACUGAAUGGAAAUUAAAGAAGCCCUCAGUGCCAGUGGACUUCUGGUUGUGGGGAGAAAAACAGUCAAAAGCCUAGGAUUUUUCCCUCUUUUUUUUUUUUUUUUUUUAAAAUCUAUUUCUGACUUGUCCUUUUUAUCUUACUUGCAUGACAACCCCUUCAUGCCUCAGGCUUCUUCAUGUCUCCAAAACAUCUAUAAAGGGAUUGCAGUAUAACUUCUCUUGUCAACAAAAAUUCUCCUCAUCAGACAAAUUGCUACCUAGAACAGUCCUCUGAAUGACAGUCAGCAUCCUUGGAGCAAGGGGAGGGGUGAGAAAGGUGAGACUGCCAGGACAUUUUCAGACAUAAGGAAGAGUCAUAUCAUCUACCACUCACCCUCCUGUGCUUAAAUUGCCCUCUCCAUACGGCACCAGCCAGC
ensembl:lncRNA